ACGAACGCUGGCGGCGUGCUUAACACCUGCAAGUCGAACGAAGAGCGAUGGAAGCUUGCUUCUAUCAAUCUUAGUGGCGAACGGGUGAGUAACGCGUAAUCAACCUGCCCUUCAGAGGGGGACAACAGUUGGAAACGACUGCUAAUACCGCAUACGAUCUAAUCUCGGCAUCGAGGAUAGAUGAAAGGUGGCCUCUACAUGUAAGCUAUCACUGAAGGAGGGGAUUGCGUCUGAUUAGCUAGUUGGAGGGGUAACGGCCCACCAAGGCGAUGAUCAGUAGCCGGUCUGAGAGGAUGAACGGCCACAUUGGGACUGAGACACGGCCCAGACUCCUACGGGAGGCAGCAGUGGGGAAUCUUCCGCAAUGGACGAAAGUCUGACGGAGCAACGCCGCGUGAGUGAGGACGGCCUUCGGGUUGUAAAGCUCUGUUAAUCGGGACGAAAGGCCUUCUUGCGAAUAGUGAGAAGGAUUGACGGUACCGGAAUAGAAAGCCACGGCUAACUACGUG
rnacentral:rRNA from 1 species